rnacentral:rRNA from 1 species
GCCUUCUUCACUCACGCGGAAUGGCUGGAUCAGGUUGCCCCCAUUGUCCAAAAUUCCCCACUGCUGCCUCCCGUAGGAGUCUGGGCCGUGUCUCAGUCCCAGUGUGGCUGGUCGUCCUCUCAGACCAGCUACUGAUCGUNGCCUUGGUGAGCCUUUACCUCACCAACUAGCUAAUCAGACAUCGGCCGCUCCAA